UACGAAGGGUGCAAGCGUUAAUCGGAAUUACUGGGCGUAAAGGGUGCGUAGGCGGUUCGUUAAGUCUGUCGUGAAAUCCCCGGGCUCAACCUGGGAAUGGCGAUGGAUACUGGCGAGCUAGAGUGUGUCAGAGGAUGGUGGAAUUCCCGGUGUAGCGGUGAAAUGCGUCGAGAUCGGGAGGAACAUCAGUGGCGAAGGCGGCCAUCUGGGACAACACUGACGCUGAAGCACGAAAGCGUGGGGAGCAAACAGG
rnacentral:rRNA from 1 species